rnacentral:rRNA from 1 species
GACGAACGCUGGCGGCGUGCUUAACACAUGCAAGUCGAACGAAGAGCGAUGGAAGCUUGCUUCUAUCAAUCUUAGUGGCGAACGGGUGAGUAACGCGUAAUCAACCUGCCCUUCCGAGGGGGACAACAGUUGGAAACGACUGCUAAUACCGCAUACGAUCUGACCUCGGCAUCGAGGAUAGAUGAAAGGUGGCCUCUACAUGUAAGCUAUCACUGAAGGAGGGGAUUGCGUCUGAUUAGCUAGUUGGAGGGGUAACGGCCCACCAAGGCGAUGAUCAGUAGCCGGUCUGAGAGGAUGAACGGCCACAUUGGGACUGAGACACGGCCCAGACUCCUACGGGAGGCAGCAGUGGGGAAUCUUCCGCAAUGGACGAAAGUCUGACGGAGCAACGCCGCGUGAGUGAUGACGGCCGUCGGGUUGUAAAGCUCUGUUAAUCGGGACGAAAGGCCUUUUUGCGAAUAGUGAGAAGGAUUGACGGUACCGGAAUAGAAAGCCACGGCUAACUACGUG